GAGAGUUUGAUCCUGGCUCAGAUUGAACGCUGGCGGCAUGCCUAACACAUGCAAGUCGAACGGUAACGCGAGGAGCUUGCUCCUUGGCGACGAGUGGCGGACGGGUGAGUAAUACUUAGGAAUCUGCCCAUUAGUGGGGGACAACAUUCGGAAACGGAUGCUAAUACCGCAUACGCCCUACGGGGGAAAGCGGGGGAUCUUCGGACCUCGCGCUAAUGGAUGAGCCUAAGUCGGAUUAGCUUGUUGGUGAGGUAAUAGCUCACCAAGGCGACGAUCCGUAGCUGGUCUGAGAGGACGAUCAGCCACACUGGGACUGAGACACGGCCCAGACUCCUACGGGAGGCAGCAGUGGGGAAUAUUGGACAAUGGGCGCAAGCCUGAUCCAGCAAUGCCGCGUGUGUGAAGAAGGCCUGCGGGUUGUAAAGCACUUUCAGUAGAGAAGAAAAGCCUAGGGUUAAUACCCCUGGGUCUUGACGUAACCUACAGAAGAAGGACCGGCUAACUCCGUGCCAGCAGCCGCGGUAAUACGGAGGGGCCAAGCGUUAUCCGGAUUUAUUGGGUUUAAAGGGUGCGCAGGCGGACCUAUCAGUCAGUGGUGAAAUCCCGGGGCUCAACUCCGGAACUGCCAUUGAUACUAUAGGUCUUGAGUUUGGUUGAAGUAGGCGGAAUGUAGCAUGUAGCGGUGAAAUGCAUAGAUAUGCUAUAGAACACCGAUAGCGAAGGCAGCUUACUAAUCUAUAACUGACGCUGAUGCACGAAAGCGUGGGUAGCGAACAGGAUUAGAUACCCUGGUAGUCCACGCCGUAAACGAUGUUCACUCGUUGUUGGCAAUACACCGUCAGCGACUAAGCGAAAGUGAUAAGUGAACCACCUGGGGAGUACGAUCGCAAGGUUGAAACUCAAAGGAAUUGACGGGGGCCCGCACAAGCGGAGGAGCAUGUGGUUUAAUUAGAUGAUACGCGAGGAACCUUACCUGGGCUUAAAUGUAUAUUGACAGUCAAAGAGAUUUGAUUUUCUUCGGACAAUUUACAAGGUGCUGCAUGGUUGUCGUCAGCUCGUGCCGUGAGGUGUCGGGUUAAGUCCCAUAACGAGCGCAACCCCUACCGUUAGUUGCCAUCAGGUCAAGCUGGGGACUCUAGCGGAACUGCCUGCGCAAGCAGAGAGGAAGGUGGGGAUGACGUCAAAUCAGCACGGCCCUUACGUCCAGGGCUACACACGUGCUACAAUGGCCGGUACAGAGGGCAGCCACCACGUGAGUGGGAGCGAAUCUCCAAAGCCGGUCUCAGUUCGGAUCGAAGUCUGCAACUCGACUUCGUGAAGCUGGAAUCGCUAGUAAUCGCGCAUCAGCCAUGGCGCGGUGAAUACGUUCCCGGGCCUUGUACACACCGCCCGUCAAGCCAUGGAAGUUGGGGGUACCUGAAGUCGGUAACCGUAAGGAGCCGCCUAGGGUAAAACUAGUAACUGGGGCGAAGUCGUAACAAGGUAGCCGA
rnacentral:rRNA from 1 species